GACGAACGCUGGCGGCGUGCUUUACUCAUGCAAGUCGAUCGGAGUGGCGAACGGGUGAGUAACACGUGGGUGACCUGCCCUUCACUUCGGGAUAAUCCUGGGUAACUCGGUCUAAUACCGGAUAGUGUGGGAGGGGCCCGCGGCCUAUCAGCUUGUUGGUGGGGUAAUGGCCUACCAAGUCGGCGACGGGUAGCCGGCCUGAGAGGGUGGACGGCCACAUUGGGACUGAGACACGGCCCAGACUCCUACGGGAGGCAGCAGUGGGGAAUAUUGCACAAUGGGCGGAAGCCUGAUGCAGCGACGCCGCGUGGGGGAUGACGGCCUUCGGUUUGUAAACUCCUUUCACCAUCGACGCGGUAGAUGGAGAAGAAGCACCGGAUAAGUACGGGCCAGCAGCCGCGGUAAUAC
rnacentral:rRNA from 1 species